rnacentral:rRNA from 1 species
AUUGAACGCUGGCGGCAGGCCUAACACAUGCAAGUCGAACGAGUGGCGGACGGGUGAGUAAUGUCUGGGAAACUGCCUGAUGGAGGGGGAUAACUACUGGAAACGGUAGCUAAUACCGCAUACCAUCGGAUGUGCCCAGAUGGGAUUAGCUAGUAGGUGGGGUAAAGGCUCACCUAGGCGACGAUCCCUAGCUGGUCUGAGAGGAUGACCAGCCACACUGGACCGGAGACACGGUCCAUACUCCUACGGGAGGCACCAGUGGGAAAUAUUGCAGAAUGGGCGCAAGCCUGAUGCGGCCAUGCCGCGUGUGUGAAGAAGGCCUUCGGGUUGUAAAGUACUUUCAGCGGGGAGGCGUUACCCGCAGAAGAAGCACCGGCUAACUCCGUGCCAGCAGCCGCGGUAAUAC